rnacentral:lncRNA from 1 species
GUGGAGUUUUAGCUAGCUAGCAGCUGCUUCGUAACUUGACUCGUUAGAACCAUUUAUUGUAUAAAACUGUAUAAAACGCAUUUAUUGUGGGGCUACAGGUGAACAGGUAAACAUAAGAGAGAGGUCAUCUUCAACCCGGAAGUGACUCAAUGGACCGUUUAAAGAUGUCACUGCAGAUCCUGCAGGAAGUGACUCCCCCCAGGUAAGCCUUCCCCCUGCAGAUCCAACAUGGCGUCUGACGCGUCCCCUCCUGGUGAGGAAGAGGUGAAGGUGAAGAGCAGCAGGAGGAGGAGCAGGAAGGAGGUGCAGAGGAAGACGGUGAACAUCGAGGAGUUAACAGCCGCUGGUCAUAAAGCUCUGCAGGAGGGACGGCCCGAGGACGCGCUGAGCUGCUUCAAAGACGCUCUGAGGGCCGCAGCACAGCUGCAAGAUUCCCGGGUCCUCCGGGCCUGCUCCGUUAACCUAGGAGCAGCCUACGUGGAGGCAGGCCGACCUCAGAAAGGACUGGACCUCCUGCAGCGGGCUCAUCCUGGUCCGAAGGCCAGCCGCCUCCCUGACCUACAGUUUAACAUAGCCCUGGCCCAUAAUGCACUGGGGCAAAGCCGAGAGGCUGCUGCCUGCUUCCUGCAGGCAGCUCAGCUGUACAGGUCACAGGGAGACGGAGGCAGCGAGGGGGACGCCUGCAUGGAGAUGAGCCGCUGCUACAGCAGAACACAGGUACGAGGAGCAGAACCAGGACCAGGAGCUGUGCUGGUACAGGUGUGUCAGCUGGGUCUGUGUGUUACAGGACUGGUCUCUGGCGGCUCAGGGUUUCCUGCGGGCUGCAGAGAGUUACAGAGUGGCAGCCAUGUUGGGUUGUGCAGCCAAUGCCCUGAAAGAAGCAGGAAAUCACAUGACCCAAUCCGAUCAGUUCAGCCAGGAUGACAUCACCAGCGUCCUGACAGAGUGUCUGAGUCUGACAGACAGCAUCACCGACCCCAGGACUCUGGGUAAUAAAAGAAUCGAUCAUCUGACUGUCUGACUGACU